GAAAUGCGAUAAGUAAUGUGAAUUGCAGAAUUCAGUGAAUCAUCGAAUCUUUGAACGCACCUUGCGCUCCUCGGUAUUCCUUGGAGCAUGCCUGUUUGAGUAUCAUGAAAUCUUCAAAGUAAAUCUUUUGUUAACUCAAUUGUUUUCUACUUUGGUAUUGGAGGUCUUUGCAGCUUCACACCUGCUCCUCUUUGUUCAUUAGCUGGAUCUCAGUGUUAUGCUUGGUUCCACUCGGCGUGAUAAGUUAUCUAUCGCUGAGGACACUGUAAAAGGUGGCCAAGGUAAAUGCAGAUGAACCGCUUCUAAUAGUCCAUUGACUUGGACAAUACUUUUAUGAUCUGAUCUCAAAUCAGGUAGGACUACCCGCUGAACUUAAGC
rnacentral:misc_RNA from 1 species